rnacentral:sRNA from 1 species
GGGCGCGAAGACUAGGUUUCGACGCAGCAAAAAGCCAAAGUGCAGUGCUGCGGAGCCGGGUUCGAUUCCCGGCGCGUCCACCA